UAUAACUGCUGUUACACUGAAGAAAACAGGAUGAUUCAAAGUACCAAGAUUUAACCAAACAUUUGACCAAACACAAAAUGAUGCUCCUAUUUUCUUUUCUCAUAAUUAUGACUUUGAACACUGAUCUGGUUUCAGGUGCCUCUGUCAGUGACAAAGUCCAACAGACUCCAGCUGACAUUCACAAGAAACAAGAACAAACAGCCAAAAUCUACUGUUCACACAAUAUUGAGAGCUAUUACAUAAUCCUCUGGUACAAGCAGUCAAACAGAGAACUUCAGCUCCUGGGAUACAUGACAGGAGACAGUGAAAAACUAGAGCCUGGAGUGAAGGUGAAGAUUGAAGGGAAUGCAAACAAAGGCCAGAAUUGCACAUUAACAAUUGAAGGACUCCGCACGAACAACAGUGCAGUGUACUUCUGUGCUGCUAGUUACCACAGUGCUACAUAUCACUGCUCCUCAGUACAAAAACCUGCCUAUUUAUCUCUGUAUUAAAACUCACAGCUUCUUGCACCUGGAAUAAACCAUUUUAACCAAUGUUGGUCUCUCUGCUGAUUCAGAUCAGAGAUUAUAAUGGGAGGUUCUUUCUGUGGAGCAAUGCUGUUUAACAUCACACCUCCCAUUAUAAACAGCAGCCUCAGACAUUCAGUAUGUCUGCUGUGGCUGUGUCUCAUUUCAUCAGAAUCAUAAUGACAGCUCCAAUACUCAUCACAUUUGCAGUCUCAUCUCUGUGGCUUCAAGUUCGCUGCCAGGAUGUGACCCAACACCCUGCAAUCAGCUGGAAUUAUGUGUCCAAAUCUGCAGAGAUGAACUGCAGCCACAACAAAGGCAUUACUUAUAACCAGAUGUACUGGUACAGACAGCGUCCAGGAGAGACCAUGACCUUCAUUGUCUACACAGUUUUUAUGGGGCAGCCAGACUAUGGGGGGCUCUCUCAAACCAAAUAUUCAGCUAACAAAGAUACAAUAGAGACGGGGGCUCUUACUGUGAAAAACCUGCAGCCUGAGGACAGUGGAGUGUAUUUCUGUGCUGCUGGUAAACACAGUGACGUGAGACGUAUGAGCAGCUGAACAAAAACUGCCUGCCAAUAAUUUGGCUUAUCAGAUACAAGAUGAUGAGUUUACUAUCUUCCCAGUAGGUGGAGCUGGAGCUCCAGAGAUUUAGAGUCUAUAGUGAGAGGUUUAUUCAGUCGAGCACUCAGUGUUCCAGUAUUGUUCAUUUUACUUUGGCUCAUUGUUAAUCACUUACUCAUUAAGGGGUAUCACUUUAUCUAUAAUUUCUACACUCUUUCUGUCUUUCUUUAAUGUUUGUCUGGGUGUUGAGAUCGACCACACUCCUCCAGCUUUUCUCAGAAAAUCUGGAGACCCGCUGGUCUGCAGCCAUGUAAAGAACAAGUACAUGCUCAAGCAAGUGGAGACACAGCAAAGAAUCACUCUCUGUUAAAAGAAGACCUAUGGUGGACUUAUUGUUUUGAAUGAGAACCUGAACAGACCACUCCCAGCCAGCUGGUCCUGAUUGGAUGCUUUCAUCCCUACGAGACAGUAUACAGUGAUGUUUUCACUGCCCUUUCUUUUUCAAACCUCCCUUUCCUGUUCAAGCCUCUCACUAAAGGUGAGAGUCAGAGUGAUCUGAUGACAGAGCCCAGCAACUUCAAUCCUUCACACUGAGACACAGAUUGGCUUGUUAUCUAAACA